rnacentral:rRNA from 1 species
AACGAACGCUGGCGGCAUGCCUAACACAUGCAAGUCGAACGAGACCUUCGGGUCUAGUGGCGCACGGGUGCGUAACGCGUGAGAACCUGCCCUUAGGUUCGGAAUAACUUCCCGAAAGGGGUGCUAAUAACGGAUAAUGUCUUCGGACCAAGGAUUUAUCGCCUUUGGAUGGGCCCGCGUUGGAUUAGCUAGUUGGUAGGGUAAAAGCCUACCAAGGCGACGAUCCAUAGCUGGUCUGAGAGGAUGAUCAGCCACACUGGGACUGAGACACGGCCCAGACUCCUACGGGAGGCAGCAGGGGGGAAGAUUGGACAAUGGACGAAAGCCUGAUCCUGCAAGACUUCGUGUGGGAUGAAGGCCUUAGGGUUGUAAAGCUCUUUUACCCGGGAGGAUGAUGACGGUACCGGGAGAAUAAGCUCCGGCUAACUCCGUG